AUACCCAUCCCAUCUCUUCAUCCAAGCAGAGAGAUGGGGGUCUCUCUAUGUUGCCCAGGCUGGUCUCGAACUCCUGGACUCAAAAGAUUCUUCUGCCUUGGCCUCCCAAAGUGCUGGGAUUACAAGCGUGAGCCACCGCACCUGGCCCAGGAUUGAAAGGCCUCACAACAACCCAUGAGAUCGGUGAUGACUACCCCCAUUUGCCAGCUUUCCAGGGAGAGGUCAAGACCAAGACGAUCUUCAGGCCCAAGGGAGGUAGGGAGGAGGCUCGCCGAGCCCACUCCUGGGAAGAGGCCUCGCAACAACCCACAAGAUCUGUGAUGACUGCCCCCACUUUCCAGAUGAGAAGCUGAGGCUCGGAGAUAUUGAGGAAUCUGUUGAGCUUGUUGCUCCACAGAGCUGACAGCUUCCCACAGUGUGUGAGAUGCACCACAGCCAGGGGAGAUCUCGGGAAAAAGA
rnacentral:lncRNA from 1 species